UAGCAUGUGGAAAACACUAUGAUAUGUGCCUAGAGUGUACAAACAGUCGUCGUCGACAUACCUGGUAGCGAGGAUCUUCCGAGUUUGCAAUCUUUGUAAAAUCUUGUUUUGUCGCUCAUCGAGCUUUCCUCCACGAAGAGUGAUGUUGUUAAACUCCAUUCCGGUCAUUAAUGGUGGUUGUAGAGAAAAAUGAGUAUUUAUAGAAAAG
rnacentral:lncRNA from 1 species